CUCGAUUGAACUUAAAUAGCAAUACGGAUGGCGCACGGCGCACGGGUGCGUAACACGUGGGCAAUCUGCCCUUCGAUGGGGAAUAACUCCGGGAAACCGAAGCUAAUUCCGCAUAACAUUCCUUGGACUCCGGUUCGAGGAUUCAAAGCCGUAAGGCGUCGAAGGAGGAGCCCGCGCCCGAUUAGCUAGUUGGUAGGGUAACGGCCUACCAAGGCUUUGAUCGGUAGCUGGUCUGAGAGGAUGGCCAGCCACACUGGAACUGAGACACGGUCCAGACUCCUACGGGAGGCAGCAGUGGGGAAUCUUGCGCAAUGGGCGAAAGCCUGACGCAGCGACGCCGCGUGGGGGAUGAAGCAUCUCGGUGUGUAAACCCCUUUCGACUGGGACGAAUGCCUCGCAAGAGGAGUGACGGUACCAGUAGAAGAAGCCCCGGCUAACUACGUGCCAGCAGCCGCGGUAAGACGUAGGGGGCCAGCGUUGUUCGGAAUUACUGGGUGUAAAGGGUCAGUAGGCGGUGUGGCAAGUCGGGAGUGAAAUCUAUGGGCUCAACCCAUAGGCUGCUUCCGAAACUGCCAUGCUUGAGUGUGGGAGAGGCGCGUGGAAUUGCAGGUGUAGCGGUGAAAUGCGUAGAUAUCUGCAGGAACACCCGUGGCGAAAGCGGCGCGCUGGACCACAACUGACGCUGAAUGACGAAAGCUAGGGGAGCAAACAGGAUUAGAUACCCUGGUAGUCCUAGCCCUAAACGAUCAGGACUUGGGGUGCCGCACGUUCGUGCGUCGUCCCGGAGCUAACGCGUUAAGUCCUGCACCUGGGGAGUACGGUCGCAAGACUGAAACUCAAAGGAAUUGACGGGGGGCCCGCACAAGCGGUGGAACAUG
rnacentral:rRNA from 1 species